AUGAACGCUAGCGACAGGCCUAACACAUGCAAGUCGAGGGGCAGCACAAGGAGCAAUCUGAGGUGGCGACCGGCGCACGGGUGAGUAACACGUAUGCAACCUGCCUGUAAGCGGGGAAUAACCCGUUGAAAGACGGACUAAUACCGCAUAAUACUAAAUUACUGCAUGGUAAUUUAUUUAAACAUUUAUGGCUUACAGAUGGGCAUGCGCAUGAUUAGCUAGUUGGAGAGGUAACGGCUCCCCAAGGCAACGAUCAUUAGGGGUUCUGAGAGGAAGGUCCCCCACACUGGUACUGAGACACGGACCAGACUCCUACGGGAGGCAGCAGUGAGGAAUAUUGGUCAAUGGACGAGAGUCUGAACCAGCCAAGUCGCGUGCAGGAAGAAUGUUCCCUAUGGAUUGUAAACUGCUUUUGCAGGGGAAUAAAGUGCAUCACGUGUGAUGUUUUGUAUGUACUCUGCGAAUAAGGAUCGGCUAACUCCGUGCCAGCAGCGGC
rnacentral:rRNA from 1 species